UACGUAGGAGGACGAGCGUUGUCCGGAAUUACUGGGCGUAAAGAGCGCGUAGGCGGCGCUGUACGACCCGUGUGAAAGCCCCCGGCUCAACUGGGGAGGGUCACGGGUAACGGCCGAGCUAUGAGUGCAGGAGAGGGAAGUGGAACUCCGGGAGUAGCGGUGAAAUGCGUAGAGACCCGGAGGAACACCAGUGGCGAAGGCGGCUUC
rnacentral:rRNA from 1 species